GACGAACGCUGGCGGCGUGCUUAACACAUGCAAGUCGAACGGAAAGGCCUUUUCGGCGGUACUCGAGUGGCGAACGGGUGCGUAACACGUGGGUGAUCUGCCCUGCACUCUGGGAUAAGCCUGGGAAACUGGGUCUAAUACCGGAUAGGACCGCACUUUAGUGUGUGUGGUGGAAAGUUUUUUCGGUGUAGGAUGAGCCCGCGGCCUAUCAGCUUGUUGGUGGGGUAAUGGCCUACCAAGGCGGCGACGGGUAGCCGGACUGAGAGGUUGGUCGGCCACAUUGGGACUGAGAUACGGCCCAGACUCCUACGGGAGGCAGCAGGGGGGAAUAUUGCACAAUGGGCGCAAGCCUGAUGCAGCGACGCCGCGUGGGGGAUGACGGCCUUCGGGUUGUAAACUCCUUUCGCCAGGGACGAAGCGUUUUGUGACGGUACCUGGAGAAGAAGCACCGGCUAACUACGUG
rnacentral:rRNA from 1 species